CCGAGGAAAAGAAAUCAACCGAGAUUCCCCCAGUAGCGGCGAGCGAACGGGGAGGAGCCCAGAGCCUGAAUCAGCAUGUGUGUUAGUGGAAGCGUCUGGAAAGGCGCGCGAUACAGGGUGACAGCCCCGUACACAAAAGCGCAUGUGCUGUGAGCUCGAUGAGUAGGGCGGGACACGUGGUAUCCUGUCUGAAUAUGGGGGGACCAUCCUCCAAGGCUAAAUACUCCUGACUGACCGAUAGUGAACCAGUACCGUGAGGGAAAGGCGAAAAGAACCCCGGCGAGGGGAGUGAAAAAGAACCUGAAACCGUGUACGUACAAGCAGUGGGAGCACCCUUUGGGGUGUGACUGCGUACCUUUUGUAUAAUGGGUCAGCGACUUAUAUUCUGUAGCAAGGUUAACCGAAUAGGGGAGCCGGAGGGAAACCGAGUCUUAAUUGGGCGUUAAGUUGCAGGGUAUAGACCCGAAACCCGGUGAUCUAGCCAUGGGCAGGUUGAAGGUUGGGUAACACUAACUGGAGGACCGAACCGACUAAUGUUGAAAAAUUAGCGGAUGACCUGUGGCUGGGGGUGAAAGGCCAAUCAAACCGGGAGAUAGCUGGUUCUCCCCGAAAGCUAUUUAGGUAGCGCCUCGUGAAUUCAUCUCCGGGGGUAGAGCACUGUUUCGGCUAGGGGGCCAUCCCGGCUUACCAACCCGAUGCAAACUGCGAAUACCGGAGAAUGUUAUCACGGGAGACACACGGCGGGUGCUAACGUCCGUCGUGAAGAGGGAAACAACCCAGACCGCCAGCUAAGGUCCCAAAGUCAUGGUUAAGUGGGAAACGAUGUGGGAAGGCCCAGACAGCCAGGAUGUUGGCUUAGAAGCAGCCAUCAUUUAAAGAAAGCGUAAUAGCUCACUGGUCGAGUCGGCCUGCGCGGAAGAUGUAACGGGGCUAAACCAU
rnacentral:rRNA from 1 species